rnacentral:tRNA from 1 species
AUUAAGAUGGCAGAUAAGUGUAUCAGAUUUAAGCUUUGAUUAUAAAGGUAAAGCCCUUUUCUUAAUA